rnacentral:rRNA from 1 species
UACAGAGGUCUCAAGCGUUGUUCGGAUUCAUUGGGCGUAAAGGGUGCGUAGGUGGCGCGGUAAGUCGGGUGUGAAAUCUCGGAGCUUAACUCCGAAAUUGCAUUCGAUACUGCCGUGCUCGAGGACUGGAGAGGAGACUGGAAUUCAUGGUGUAGCAGUGAAAUGCGUAGAGAUCAUGAGGAAGACCAGUGGCGAAGGCGGGUCUCUGGACAGUUACUGACACUGAGGCACGAAGGCCAGGGGAGCAAACGGG